UAAAAGCUUGCUUUUGAAAGGUCAGCGGCGGACGGGUGAGUAACACGUGGGCAACCUGCCUGUAAGACUGGGAUAACUUCGGGAAACCGGAGCUAAUACCGGAUAAUAUAAGGAACCUCCUGGUUCUUUAUUGAAAGAUGGUUUCGGCUAUCACUUACAGAUGGGCCCGCGGCGCAUUAGCUAGUUGGUGAGGUAACGGCUCACCAAGGCGACGAUGCGUAGCCGACCUGAGAGGGUGAUCGGCCACACUGGGACUGAGACACGGCCCAGACUCCUACGGGAGGCAGCAGUAGGGAAUCUUCCACAAUGGACGAAAGUCUGAUGGAGCAACGCCGCGUGAGCGAUGAAGGCCUUCGGGUCGUAAAGCUCUGUUGUUAGGGAAGAACAAGUGCGAGAGUAACUGCUCGCACCUUGACGGUACCUAACCAGAAAGCCACGGCUAACUACGUGCCAGCAGCCGCGGUAAUACGUAGGUGGCAAGCGUUGUCCGGAAUUAUUGGGCGUAAAGCGCGCGCAGGUGGUCCUUUAAUCUGAUGUGAAAGCCCACGGCUCACCGUGGGAGGGUCAUUGGAAAUGGGGGGACUUGA
rnacentral:rRNA from 1 species